rnacentral:misc_RNA from 1 species
ACAGUGCCCCGUGCCUUUUAGGCCGGGGACUUUUGCACAAACCUCGCAAGAGGCUACGUGUAUAACCCAUUGUGAAACUUCCAUUUUUGCUUCGGCAGCACUCUCAGCUUUGGAGUCACAUCCGCCGGCUGGAGGGGUAAGGCUGUCAGAAGCCCAUAUCAAAACUAGUUGAUGAAAUGUCAUGCUGUCUGAUACCUUUUUUUAUUUGAGAAAUCAAAUUACGUUA